AUUGAACGCUGGCGGCAGGCCUAACACAUGCAAGUCGAACGAGUGGCGGACGGGUGAGUAAUGUCUGGGGAACUGCCUGAUGGAGGGGGAUAACUACUGGAAACGGUAGCUAAUACCGCAUACCAUCGGAUGUGCCCAUAUGGGAUUAGCUUGUAGGUGGGGUAACGGCUCACCUAGGCGACGAUCCCUAGCUGGUCUGAGAGGAUGACCAGCCACACUGGAACUGAGACACGGCCCAGACUCCUACGGGAGGCAGCAGUGGGGAAUAUUGCACAAUGGGCGCAAGCCUGAUGCAGCCAUGCCGCGUGUAUGAAGAAGGCCUUCGGGUUGUAAAGUACUUUCAGUCGGGAGGCGUUACCCACAGAAGAAGCACCGGCUAACUCCGUGCCAGCAGCCGCGGUAAUUC
rnacentral:rRNA from 1 species